rnacentral:rRNA from 1 species
UACAGAGGUCUCAAGCGUUGUUCGGAUUCAUUGGGCGUAAAGCGUGCGCAGGCGGCUGUGCAAGACAGAUGUGAAAUCCCCGGGCUUAACCUGGGAACUGCGUUUGAAACUGAAAGGCUAGAGUGUGGCAGAGGGGGGUGGAAUUCCACGUGUAGCAGUGAAAUGCGUAGAGAUGUGGAGGAACACCGAUGGCGAAGGCAGCCCCCUGGGCUAACACUGACGCUCAUGCACGAAAGCGUGGGGAGCAAACAGG